rnacentral:rRNA from 1 species
GACGGAGGGUGCAAGCGUUGUUCGGAAUUACUGGGCGUAAAGGGCGCGUAGGCGGUCUGUUAAGUUCGGUGUGAAAGCCCUCGGCUCAACCGAGGAAGUGCGCCGGAUACUGGCAGACUUGAGUACCGGAGAGGAGGGUGAAUUCCUGGUGUAGCGGUGAAAUGCGUAGAUAUCAGGAGGAACACCGGUGGCGAAGGCGGCCCUCUGGACGAGUACUGACGCUGAGGCGCGAAAGCGUGGGGAUCAAACAGG